GGGAUCAAGCCCAAAACCCAGGCAUGUGCCCAGACUGGGAAUCAAACCGUGACCUCCUGGUUCAUAGGUCCAAACUCAACCACUGAGCCACGCCGGUUAGGCUCAUCUGUCAUUAAGUUACCCACACUGAAAGGUCUGGCUCAAGCCUUACCUCUUCUGAAAUCUUCCAUGAUCACCACAACCAAGAGUGAACUGCCUCCCUUCCAACACCCAGAGGCCACAGUUUGGGUAACAAGAUAUAAUCAAUGUGAGAGGCCAAGCUCCACAUACAUGGACAAGCAUGGGGAAGAAUGACCUGGGCAUAGGAGAGGGGAGAAACCAUGACCAAGGAAAAGCAUAAGUCCUCACUGUUGGGAGACUCUUUAUUCAAAGAACUAGAGCUAUAGUCAAAGUCCAUUCUAUUCUAAAGAUUCAAUAAGCAAAGGCACAAAUGUCCGGCAUGAAGAAUGAACUUGGACAGUCUAUCAACCUGAUAGGCCUUGGAGAAGGCUGGAAAGAAAAGCAACAGAAAUUAGUGAAGGUGAUCCAUAGAAGGAGCAUGACAGCCACAUGUAUCAAAGCUUAUAAGGAGGGGGCCAGCUUAACAAUCCUGACACAGAUGCUGGACCACCAGGCAAUGAAGGAAUCAAGGUCCAGUCAUCAUAAAGAUAAGUACCAUCAGCUAAGCCCAGAGACACUGGGACUACUGGUUUUGUAGAAGCCUAGAAACUUUUCCCAGAUGAUAUACCCUAAUUUCUCAAGUAACAUCAUCACUUAUUAAAAAAGACUGACAGUCCCAAAAUCAC